rnacentral:tRNA from 1 species
GGAGAGUUCGCAUAGAGGCCUAGUGCGUCGGUUUGCUAAACCGAUGUCGGAUUAUUUCCGACCAUGGGUUCGAAUCCCAUACUCUCCGCCA